UAGACAAGUAACGACAAGUAUUGGUUUCGAAGAAGAACGAACGAACGAACGAACGUGUGUGCUAGAGAGAGAAAGAAUAUCGCGCUGCAGUUUUAACCUAAUUUCGUAGUUCGUAUGGAGACGCAAGGAACUCCAAUCGAUAGAUUUAAAGGAGCAGAGUGACACAAACGACCUCGAUCCUCCCGACCAUUAGGAUUAUUCCAACGUCCUCUCCUACCCCGUGUACUUACAACGCCUUUGGCUGGUGAUCGUGGUGGUUUCCCUAGUGGAAACCAGAAACUUGAUACUACGUCACGGUGAGUAUUAAAAAACUAGAAUUGUUAUUUUUCUAGAUUGACAAUCCUUAACGAAAGAUUAUGCACAAAUUAAGGAUACAUACUAAUAUUAAAAAAGCUUUGUUUUAAUACUACUACGAAAUAAUUUCAUUUGAUAACAUUCUACUUUUUUAUAUUCCAUUUGAUAACAACGUAUCAAUAAUUAUCAUCGUCUCUAAACUUUUUUCUAUACAUAUACAUAUAUAAAUAUUAAUCUGAACAAUAAUUAACAUACAUUUGAUUGGUUCAAAUGUGUACAUAUAAAUAAGAAAAAUAAUUAUUCAUUAAAUUGGUGUAUCUACAGAACGAUUAAAAAUUGCUUGAAGAAGAUGA
rnacentral:lncRNA from 1 species